rnacentral:rRNA from 1 species
GAUGAACGCUAGCGGGAGGCUUAACACAUGCAAGUCGAGGGGUAAAUGGUAGCAAUACUAUGAGACCGGCGGACGGGUGCGUAACGCGUAUGCAACAUACCUUGUGCAGGGGGAUAGCCCGUGGAAACGCGGAUUAAUAUUCCAUAGUCCAGCUAUAUCGCAUGGUAUAGUUGGUAAAGAUUUAUCGGCACAAGUUUGGCAUGCGUCUGAUUAGCUUGUUGGUAGGGUAACGGCCUACCAAGGCUACGAUCAGUAGGGGUUCUGAGAGGAUUAACCCCCACACUGGUACUGAGACACGGACCAGACUCCUACGGGAGGCAGCAGUGAGGAAUAUUGGUCAAUGGGCGGAAGCCUGAACCAGCCAUCCCGCGUGAAGGAAGACAGCUUUACGGGUUGUAAACUUCUUUUCUGUCAGAAGAAUAAGCUUGUCGAGACGAGUGAUGCCGGUAUGACAGGAAUAAGCAUCGGCUAACUCCGUGCCAGCAGCCGCGGUAAAACG